rnacentral:rRNA from 1 species
GAUGAACGCUGGCGGCGUGCCUAAUACAUGCAAGUCGAGCGAACAGACGCUGCGCUUGCUCCUCUCACGUUAGCGGCGCACGGGUGAGUAACACGUGUAUAACCUACUUAUAAGACUGGGAUCACUUCGGGAAAGCGGCGCAAAUACCGGAUAAUAUCUUGCUCCGUAUGGUUCAUUAGUGAAAGACGGUUUUGCUGUAUCUUAUAGAUGGAUCCGCGCCGCAUUAGCUAGUUGGUACGGUAACGGCUUAUGAAGGCAACGAUGCGUAGCCGACCGGAGAGAGUGAUCGGCCACACUGGAGCUGAGACACGGUCCUGGCUACUACGAGAGGCAGCAGUAGGGAAUCUGCCGCAGUGGGCGAAAGCCUGGCGGAAUGGCGCCGCGUGAGUGGUGAAGGCCCUCGGUGCGUAAAGCUCUGUUAUGGGGGAAGAACAAAUGUGGAAGUAACUAUGCACGGAUUGACGGUACCUAGUCAGGAAGCAACGGCUAACUACGUG